ensembl:lncRNA
UGCUAAGCCUGGCCAUUUGGCCAUUAUUUACCACAGACAGUGUGCAAAACAUGUGCCAGAACUAAGUAAUUAGAUUUAGAUUUUCAUUUUAACCUUUAAAAGGGUGGGGCACGUUUUAAAGUGACUUUACUGCUGUCUAUUUCUGUUUUGCUGCUGAUUCUUAACGACACGCUGCCCUCUACAGCUGAUAAAAUCCCACUGAUUGGCAUUUACUGCAGUGUGAUUUUCAGUCUCAUUGGUAUCAGCAUUCUGGAGACCAUCCUUGUGACUUUUCUGAUGGCUAAAGGAGCAGAGAAUAGAUCAGUGGAAAACACAGCUGCUGUUAGUGGCCGAGAUGAUAAUGUAAGAGACCUGCAGAACUCUCCAGACUCAGUUAGAGAUCAGAAUGGGAUGCGGAGAUCACUUUGCUGGACCAGAGUGGCAAGAAUCAUAGAUGUGACUUUCUUGCUUUUUUAUAUAAUCACCAUUAUUGUGUUUCUGACCAUGCUUGGGAAGAUUUGGCUUUCAUACUAAUGUUUCGUAUACAUGAAAUGCCACACAAUACUAACUGUUAUUUACAGUUUGUAAAUAAUUU